rnacentral:rRNA from 1 species
AAAGGAAUAGACGGGGGCCCGCACAAGCGGUGGAGCAUGUGGUUUAAUUCGACGCAACGCGAAGAACCUUACCAAAUCUUGACAUCGAUAGAAUCUGCUGGAAACAGCGGAGUGCCCUUCGGGGAACUUGAAGACAGGUGGUGCAUGGUUGUCGUCAGCUCGUGUCGUGAGAUGUUGGGUUAAGUCCCGCAACGAGCGCAACCCCUACUGUAUGUUACUAACAGGUUAAGCUGAGGACUCAUAUGGGACUGCCGGUGUAAGCCGGAGGAAGGUGGGGAUGACGUCAAAUCAUCAUGCCCCUUAUGAUUUGGGCUACACACGUGCUACAAUGGGCAGUACAGAGGGAAGCAAAGCCGUGAGGUGGAGCGGAACCCAAAAAACUGCUCCCAGUUCGGAUUAUAGUCUGCAACUCGACUAUAUGAAGUUGGAAUCGCUAGUAAUCGCAGGUCAGCAUACUGCGGUGAAUACGUUCCCGGGCCUUGUACACACCGCCCGU